rnacentral:rRNA from 1 species
GACAGAGGUGCCGAGCGUUAGGCGGAAUCACUGGGCUUAAAGCGUGUGUAGGCGGGUCGUUAAGUGUCUUGUGAAAUCCCACCGCUCAACGGUGGAACUGCUGGGCAUACUGGCGAUCUUGAGCCACCUAGGGGCAGACGGAACAAGCGGUGGAGCGGUGAAAUGCGUAGAUAUCGCUUGGAACGCCGACGGUGAAAACAGUCAUGCUGGGGGUGUGCUGACGCUGAGACACGAAAGCCAGGGGAGCAAAACGGG